GUGAGGAAUAUUGGUCAAUGGUCGGGAGACUGAACCAGCCAAGCCGCGUGAGGGAGGAAGGUACAGAGUAUCGUAAACCUCUUUUGUCAGGGAACAAAGGCGGGGACGUGUCCCCGGAUGAGUGUACCUGAAGAAAAAGCAUCGGCUAACUCCGUGCCAGCAGCCGCGGUAAUACGGAGGAUGCGAGCGUUAUCCGGAUUUAUUGGGUUUAAAGGGUGCGCAGGCGGUCUGUUAAGUCAGCGGUCAAAGCCCGGGGCUCAACCCCGGCCCGCCGUUGAAACUGGCAGUCUCGAGUUGGAGAGAAGUAUGCGGAAUGCGCGGUGUAGCGGUGAAAUGCAUAGAUAUCGCGCAGAACUCCGAUUGCGAAGGCAGCAUGCCGGCUCCACACUGACGCUGAGGCACGAAAGCGUGGGUAUCGAACAGGA
rnacentral:rRNA from 1 species